CCUACGGGGGGCAGCAGUGAGGAAUAUUGGUCAAUGGGCGCGAGUCUGAACCAGCCAAGCCGCGUGAAGGAUGACUGCCCUACGGGUUGUAAACUUCUUUUGUAAGGGAAUAAAGUCAGGCACGCGUACCUGUCUGAAUGUACCUUACGAAUAAGGAUCGGCUAACUCCGUGCCAGCAGCCGCGGUAAUACGGAGGAUCCGAGCGUUAUCCGGAUUUAUUGGGUUUAAAGGGUGCGUAGGCGGGUUGUUAAGUCAGGUGUGAAAGCCCGGGGCUCAACCGUAGAAUUGCCUUUGAUACUGGCAGGCUUGAGUGUAGUUGAGGUAGGCGGAAUUCGUGGUGUAGCGGUGAAAUGCUUAGAGAUCACGAAGAACUCCGAUUGCGAAGGCAGCUUACCAAGCUGCCACUGACGUUGAGGCACGAAAGCGUGGGGAGCAAACAGGAUUAGAUACCCUAGUAGUC
rnacentral:rRNA from 1 species